UUUCGUGAAGCCAUACUGAAAGCCUCCUGUCAGGCCAAGGAAUGAGCACUGUGGUGUAGCAGACAUAUUUGCGAAGAAAUGGCCUUAUUUUAAAAUGUACUCCACUUACAUUCGUGAGUUCAACAAGAAUGUGGCUGUUCUAGAAGAGCAGUGCCGGAAGAACCCUGCAUUUGCCAAAGUUGUCUGUGAAUUUGAGUGCAAUCCAUGUUGUGCUAACCUGGC